rnacentral:rRNA from 1 species
UACGAAGGGGGCUAGCGUUGCUCGGAAUCACUGGGCGUAAAGGGUGCGUAGGCGGGUCUUUAAGUCAGGGGUGAAAUCCUGGAGCUCAACUCCAGAACUGCCUUUGAUACUGAGGAUCUUGAGUUCGGGAGAGGUGAGUGGAACUGCGAGUGUAGAGGUGAAAUUCGUAGAUAUUCGCAAAGAACACCAGUGGCGAAGGCGGCC